CUGAAAGAACCAGAGCUGUUAGAGCGGCGACGCGUGAAAGGCGGGAGUACGGGCGUCGCUGGAGAACCUCCGCGGCGGAGGGGCCUGGGGGUGGGACCGCGCUUGCGAGCCCGCCCUGACCGGGGUGUCUGUGUGCUUGUGAAGCGCUCCCUUGUUAGUUCCUUCUGUGAGACUCGGGGGAGACUGGAGAGGGAAAUCACCUGCGGGAAAUGAACAGGAAAGCAAUAAGAAGAUUUGCAAAAGAGGCACUGGCUACUGGAGGAAGGGAGAAAUCACCAAGAGAGCGAAAGAUGUAACAGAAAAAAAGGCCUUAUGAAGACAUUGCAAAAGGACAACUAUCUGCAAACCAGGAAGAGAGACCUCACCAGAAAUCAACCGGGCUGGUGGUACCUUGAUCUUAGACUUCCAGCCUCCAGAACUAUGAGAAAAUAAAUGUCUGUAAUUUAA